GGAUCCAGACUUUGAUUCUGGCUCAGGAUGAACGCUAGCUACAGGCUUAACACAUGCAAGUCGAGGGGCAGCGGGAUUGAAGCUUGCUUCAAUUGCCGGCGACCGGCGCACGGGUGAGUAACGCGUAUCCAACCUUCCGUACACUCAGGGAUAGCCUUUCGAAAGAAAGAUUAAUACCUGAUGGUAUGAUGAGAUUGCAUGAUAGCAUCAUUAAAGAUUUAUCGGUGUACGAUGGGGAUGCGUUCCAUUAGGUAGUAGGCGGGGUAACGGCCCACCUAGCCAACGAUGGAUAGGGGUUCUGAGAGGAAGGUCCCCCACAUUGGAACUGAGACACGGUCCAAACUCCUACGGGAGGCAGCAGUGAGGAAUAUUGGUCAAUGGACGAGAGUCUGAACCAGCCAAGUAGCGUGAAGGAUGAAGGUCCUACGGAUUGUAAACUUCUUUUAUAAGGGAAUAAACCCUCCCACGUGUGGGAGCUUGUAUGUACCUUAUGAAUAAGCAUCGGCUAACUCCGUGCCAGCAGCCGCGGUAAUACGGAGGAUGCGAGCGUUAUCCAGAUUUAUUGGGUUUAAAGGGAGCGCAGACGGGUCGUUAAGUCAGCUGUGAAAGUUUGGGGCUCAACCUUAAAAUUGCAGUUGAUACUGGCGUCCUUGAGUGCGGUUGAGGUGUGCGGAAUUCGUGGUGUAGCGGUGAAAUGCUUAGAUAUCACGAAGAACUCCGAUUGCGAAGGCAGCACACUAAUCCGUAACUGACGUUCAUGCUCGAAAGUGUGGGUAUCAAACAGGAUUAGAUACCCUGGUAGUCCACACGGUAAACGAUGGAUACUCGCUGUUGGCGAUAUACUGUCAGCGGCUUAGCGAAAGCGUUAAGUAUCCCACCUGGGGAGUACGCCGGCAACGGUGCAACUCAAAGGAAUUGACGG
rnacentral:rRNA from 1 species